rnacentral:rRNA from 1 species
GACGAACGCUGGCGGCGUGCUUAACACAUGCAAGUCGAGCGGUAAGGCCCUUUCGGGGGUACACGAGCGGCGAACGGGUGAGUAACACGUGGGUGACCUGCCCUCAGCUCUGGGAUAAGCCUGGGAAACCGGGUCUAAUACCGGAUAUGACUCCAUGACGCAUGUUGUGGGGUGGAAAGCCUUGUGCGGCUGAGGAUGGGCCCGCGGCCUAUCAGCUUGUUGGUGGGGUNAUGGCCUACCAAGGCGACGACGGGUAGCCGGCCUGAGAGGGCGACCGGCCACACUGGGACUGAGACACGGCCCAGACUCCUACGGGAGGCAGCAGGUGGGGAGUCUUGCGCAA